rnacentral:rRNA from 1 species
UACGUAGGGCGCAAGCGUUAUCCGGAAUUACUGGGCGUAAAGCGUGCGCAGGCGGUUAUGUAAGACAGUUGUGAAAUCCCCGGGCUCAACCUGGGAAUUGCAUCUGUGACUGCAUAGCUAGAGUACGGUAGAGGGGGAUGGAAUUCCGCGUGUAGCAGUGAAAUGCGUAGAUAUGCGGAGGAACACCGAUGGCGAAGGCAAUCCCCUGGACCUGUACUGACGCUCAUGCACGAAAGCGUGGGGAGCAAACAGG